rnacentral:rRNA from 1 species
GACAGAGGGUGCAAGCGUUGCUCGGAAUUACUGGGCGUAAAGGGCUCGUAGGUGGCCAACUAAGUCGGACGUGAAAUCCCUCGGCUUAACCGGGGAACUGCGUCCGAUACUGGUUGGCUUGAGUUUGGGAGAGGGAUGCGGAAUUCCAGGUGUAGCGGUGAAAUGCGUAGAUAUCUGGAGGAACACCGGUGGCGAAGGCGGCAUCCUGGACCAAUACUGACGCUGAGGAGCGAAAGCCAGGGGAGCAAACGGG